rnacentral:tRNA from 4 species
GCUGAUGUAGCUCAGUUGGCUAGAGCAGCUGAUUUGUAAUCAGCAGGUCGGGGGUUCGACUCCCUUCAUCAGCUCCA